rnacentral:rRNA from 1 species
GACGAACGCUGGCGGCGUGCUUAACACAUGCAAGUCGAACGGAAAGGCCCUGCUUUUGUGGGGUGCUCGAGUGGCGAACGGGUGAGUAACACGUGAGUAACCUGCCCUUGACUUUGGGAUAACUUCAGGAAACUGGGGCUAAUACCGGAUAGGAGCUCCUGCUGCAUGGUGGGGGUUGGAAAGUUUCGGCGGUUGGGGAUGGACUCGCGGCUUAUCAGCUUGUUGGUGGGGUAGUGGCUUACCAAGGCUUUGACGGGUAGCCGGCCUGAGAGGGUGACCGGCCACAUUGGGACUGAGAUACGGCCCAGACUCCUACGGGAGGCAGCAGUGGGGAAUAUUGCACAAUGGGCGGAAGCCUGAUGCAGCAACGCCGCGUGCGGGAUGACGGCCUUCGGGUUUUAAACCGCUUUCGCCUGUGACGAAGCGUGAGUGACGGUAAUGGGUAAAGAAGCACCGGAUAACUACGUG